AGAGUGAACGCUGGCGGCAGGCCUAACACAUGCAAGUCGAACGGCAGCACAGCAGUAGCAAUACUGUGGGUGGCGAGUGGCGGACGGGUGAGGAAUACAUCGGAAUCUACCUUGUCGUGGGGGAUAACGUAGGGAAACUUACGCUAAUACCGCAUACGAACUAUGGUUGAAAGCGGCGGACCGCAAGGCGUCGCGCGAUUGGAUGAGCCGAUGUCCGAUUAGCUAGUUGGCGGGUAAAGCCCACAAGGCGACGAUCGGUAGCUGGUCUGAGAGGAUGAUCGAGCCACACGUGGAACCUGAGACGACGGUCCAAGACCUCCGACGGGAGCAAGCAGGUGGGAAUAGUGGACAAGUGGGACGCAAGCCUAGACUCCGAGCCAGUCGCCGCGUU
rnacentral:rRNA from 1 species